AGUUCCAACAUUUAUUAUUGGUGAUUUCUUGCGCUUUAAUGAACAGUCAGUUUUUCAUGCACAUUUAAAUCCUACAACAGUCAAGUCUCUAUUGAAGUUCCAACAUUUAUUAUUGGUGAUUUCUUGCGCUUUACUGAACAGUCAGUUUUUCAUACACAUUUAAAUCCUACAACAGUCAAGUUUCUAUUGAAGGAUUCACCAUCACUUUCUGCAUGCUAAUAUUGUUAAAAAGCAUUUGCACAGAGAAGCAAUCCACUUAUAAUUGAAGUGAAGUAACCUAUUCAAAGGUUGCAUAUUGGAAGAGCAAAAAAGGACACAAAUUCCAUAAAAGACUACGAAAAUAUGACCUUACACUGCAAGAAUUUGAAGAUGAUUUGAAGAGUGGAGAUCUAAAAAUAAUGAA